UGGCAAUGAGGACAUUUUUUGCAAAUAUUUUAAAUGUGAUUACAUUUAUACGCUAUACUGAGCCACAU
rfam:Branchiostoma floridae genomic scaffold BRAFLscaffold_14, whole genome shotgun sequence.